GGGGACGGGACGGGACGGGCCCUCCUCCGCCGCCACACCGCGCAUGCGCCGCCGCCGGGGCGGGGCGUGCGGCCGUUACGGCGGUUGGGGCGGUUAAUGGCGCCUGAGGGCGGCGCUGUGAGGUUCGGGGCAGGUGCUGUGCGCUUCGUGCCAGCAGCAGGGAGCUGGAGGGCGCGUUGCCUGCUGGAGAUCCCAGCCCCAACCUGGCCAAGGCCAUUGGAAGCUUUUCAGAAAAUACAAACGACGGCAGGUGUGAACUCUGCAAAUAGCUGUACCAGUAGAAGCCACUGAUCAGUAGCCAAUCCUCAGAUUUUGUCACUGCACCUUGCAGAGGUUUUCUAUCUCCCACCUAAACAUUUCCUCAGGAUUGCCAAAGUGCAUGACGAAUGAUUCUUCCAGAUGCCAGCUUCUACACUGUAUCCAUGAAGAAGAAAGUGUGGAAACAAAACCUGGGGGUUUUCUCUCCGAUGGUCUGAUCACCAACAUCCAAUAAAAUCAAUAAGCCUGUCCAGGCUUUUAAUCACUUCUGUUCACUGCAUAGCUUUUCAUUCCUUAAGCAAGAUUUGCAGAGGAUUGAUAAGAGAUUCCUUUUAGCUUAAUUUUUGUCAACAUCAUUUUCAUUAUGUGUACUGGUUUUGGCUGGGAUAGGGCUAAUUUUCUUCAUAGUAACUGGUAUAGUGCUGUUUUAGAUCUGUGACCCAAACAGUAUUGGUAACACACCGAUGUUUCAGUUGUUGCUGAGCAGUGCUUGAGUCAAGGACUCUUCUGUUUCUCACACUGCCCAACCAGCGACCAGGCUGGGGGUGCACCAGGAGUUGGGGGGCAACACAGCCAGGACAGCUGGCCCAGUCUGGCUGAAGGGAUGUCCUACACCAUGUGGCAUCAUGCUCAGCAACAAAAGCUGGGGGAAAGAAGAAAGAGGGGAUCCUUCA